rnacentral:rRNA from 1 species
GAGGGAAAGGCGAAAAGAACCCCGGCGAGGGGAGUGAAAAAGAACCUGAAACCGUGUACGUACAAGCAGUAGGAGCCUCUUUAUGGGGUGACUGCGUACCUUUUGUAUAAUGGGUCAGCGACUUAUAUUCUGUAGCAAGGUUAACCGUAUAGGGGAGCCGUAGGGAAACCGAGUCUUAACUGGGCGAAUGAGUUGCAGGGUAUAGACCCGAAACCCGGUGAUCUAUCCAUGGGCAGGUUGAAGGUUGGGUAACACUAACUGGAGGACCGAACCGACUAAUGUUGAAAAAUUAGCGGAUGACUUGUGGAUGGGGGUGAAAGGCCAAUCAAACCGGGAGAUAGCUGGUUCUCCCCGAAAGCUAUUUAGGUAGCGCCUCGUGAACUCAUCUUCGGGGGUAGAGCACUGUUUCGACUAGGGGGUCAUCCCGACUUACCAACUCGAUGCAAACUGCGAAUACCGAAGAAUGUUAUCGCGGGAGACACACGGCGGGUGCUAACGUCCGUCGUGAAGAGGGAAACAACCCAGACCGCCAGCUAAGGUCCCAAAGUCAUGGUUAAGUGGGAAACGAAGUGGGAAGGCUCAGACAGCCAGGAUGUUGGCUUAGAAGCAGCCAUCAUUUAAAGAAAGCGUAAUAGCUCACUGGUCGAGUCGGCCCGCGCGGAAGAUGUAACGGGGCUAAACCAUGCACCGAAGCUGCGGCAGCGA